GCAAGAGGGAGAACUUUUCCCCAAGCAACAGCUGAGAGUGAAUGUGAUGAGUUUGCACCUGAUUGAAGCCAAGUUGGAAGCAUCCGUCUUUUCCUGACAUGGUUGGAAGGUUCAGGCUGAAUCCACGAAGGAAGGGACAAUCUCUCUCAUCUUCUUAAUGGAAUAAUUCCCAUGAAAUGCUUUGGACUGUUGAGAGCUUGGUAAUUCUGAGAUAUUGAGGUCUACCUUGACUGAUUGAAACAAUGUUACAGGAAAAUCUAGAUCCAGAUCUCUCGGGGAUCUAACCCUGGAUCAACCAGCCAUGGCCAGAGGUACAGAGUUGUGCUGUACAGACUAGUCCACUUUGGGCUAUUCCCAGCGAAGGAGCACAGGGCAUACAAACUAGGAAGCAGUCCACACAGCUGUACAGUCAAAUGCCAGUCCUGUCCUGGUUUUCUAACUGUACAAUAGAUCUACUUGAAUAAACCACAGCAAUGACUGAAAUUCUCAUCUUCCUUCUGACGCCCACUGCUCUUCAGUGGGAUUUACUCUUACCGACACGGUGGUCUCUUCC